GGUUCAUUCAAAUUUCUGCCCUAUCAACUUUCGAUGGUAGGAUAGUGGCCUACCAUGGUUUCAACGGGUAACGGGGAAUUAGGGUUCUAUUCCGGAGAAGGAGCCUGAGAAACGGCUACUACAUCCAAGGAAGGCAGCAGGCGCGCAAAUUACCCAAUCCCGACCGGGGAGGUAGUGACAAUAAAUACUGAUACAGGGCUCUUUUGAGUCUUGUAAUUGGAAUGAGUACAAUUUAAAUCCCUUAACGAGGAACAAUUGGAGGGCAAGUCUGGUGCCAGCAGCCGCGGUAAUUCCAGCUCCAAUAGCGUAUAUUAAAGUUGUUGCAGUUAAAAAGCUCGUAGUUG
rnacentral:rRNA from 1 species